rnacentral:tRNA from 1 species
GGCUCGGUAGCUUAGUUGAUAAAGCGCUCGUCUAGCAUACAAGAGUCCUGGGUUCAAAUCCCAGCCGAGUAC